rnacentral:rRNA from 1 species
UACGUAGGGUGCAAGCGUUGUCCGGAAUUAUUGGGCGUAAAGAGCGUGUAGGCGGCCAGAUAGGUCCGUUGUGAAAACUCGAGGCUCAACCUCGAGACGUCGGCGGAAACCAUCUGGCUAGAGUCCGGAAGAGGAGAGUGGAAUUCCUGGUGUAGCGGUGAAAUGCGCAGAUAUCAGGAAGAACACCCGUGGCGAAGGCGGCUCUCUGGGGCGGUACUGACGCUGAGACGCGAAAGCGUGGGGAGCGAACAGG